UACGGGGGGGGCAAGCGUUGUCCGGAAUCAUUGGGCGUAAAGCGCGCGUAGGCGGCCCGGUAAGUCCGCUGUGAAAGUCAAAGGCUCAACCUUUGAAUGUCAGCGGAUACUGCCGGGCUAGAGUCCGGAAGAGGCGAGUGGAACUCCUGGUGUAGCGGUGGAAUGCGCAGAUAUCAGGAGGAACACCGGUGGCGAAGGCGCUCAUCUGGCCCAAUACUGACGCUGAGGCGCGAAAGCUAGGGGAGCAAACGGG
rnacentral:rRNA from 1 species